GAUUGAACGCUGGCGGCAGGCCUACCACAUGCAAGUCGAGCGGAUGACGGGAGCUUGCUCCUGGAUUCAGCGGCGGACGGGUGAGUAAUGCCUAGGAAUCUGCCUGGUAGUGGGGGAUAACGUCCGGAAACGGGCGCUAAUACCGCAUACGUCCUGCGGGAGAAAGUGGGGGAUCUUCGGACCUCACGCUAUCAGAUGAGCCUAGGUCGGAUUAGCUAGUUGGUGGGGUAAAGGCCUACCAAGGCGACGAUCCGUAACUGGUCUGAGAGGAUGAUCAGUCACACUGGAACUGAGACACGGUCCAGACUCCUACGGGAGGCAGCAGUGGGGAAUAUUGGACAAUGGGCGAAAGCCUGAUCCAGCCAUGCCGCGUGUGUGAAGAAGGUCUUCGGAUUGUAAAGCACUUUAAGUUGGGAGGAAGAGCAGUAAGUUAAUACCUUGCUGUUUUGACGGUACCAACAGAAUAAGCACCGGCUAACUUCGUG
rnacentral:rRNA from 1 species